rnacentral:rRNA from 1 species
UUGAUCUUGAUCUUUUACGUGGAUAACUGUGGUAAUUCUAGAGCUAAUACAUGCACCAAAGCUCAGAUUUUCUGACGAGCGCAUUUAUUAGAUUAAAACCAAUCGGGUUUCGGCCCGUCAAUUGGUGACUCUGAAUAACUAUUGCUGAUCGCAUGGUCUCGAGCCGGCGACGUGUCUAUCAAGUGUCUGCCUUAUCAACUGUCGAUGGUAGUUUAUGUGCCUACCAUGGUUGUAACGGGUAACGGAGAAUAAGGGUUCGACUCCGGAGAGGGAGCCUGAGAAACGGCUACCACAUCCAAGGAAGGCAGCAGGCGCGCAAAUUACCCACUCUCGGCAUGA